AUGGUCCUGGUCAAACCUCACCUUGUGUGAAUAGUUGUGUAUGGGUACGGUCAAACCUCAACCUUGUGUGAAUAGUUGUGUAUGGUCCUGGUCAACCUCAACCUUGUGUGAAUAGUUGUGUAUGGUACUGGUCAACCUCACCUUGUGUGAAUAGUUGUGUAUGGUACUGGUCAACCUCACCUUGUGUGAAUAGUUGUGUAUGGUACUGGUCAACCUCACCUUGUGUGAAUAGUUGUGUAUGGUCCUGGUCAACCUCACCUUGUGUGAAUAGUUGUGUAGGUCCUGGUCAACCACUUGUGUGAAUAGUUGUUAUGGUCCUGGUCAUCCUGAACAGUUACUCUUGGAAAUGUAGACAUAAGAAAGUACCACAACUUUGAAACUGCAAGCCGACUCCACCAUAACUAAUACAAACCACUUUUGAACCCCUUUUUAUUCACAAGACGUGUUUAUGUUGCAGACGAACAGCGUUUAAGCGCUGCCUUGGGUGUUUCAUCAGAGUGUUCACAAGUCAAGUCGUCAUUGACGAUGAGCCUGAAUUGGGUGAGAAGUGAUUGACUGUCUGUAAAUUACACAUUAAAAUCUUCAAAAUGGGAUUUUGAUUCUUCACAAUGGCACCCUCUUCUGGUUAUCUUGAGUGACACAGGUGGUUUUAUACAUACAGAGUAGCAUUCUGUUUGUGAGAUGUGGCGUAAGUGAUGUUAUGGAUGGAUAAGGCCUAGGAAUGCUUUGAUUAAGCUCCAUUAUGUGUCUUUCAUAUUUGAUGGAAAACCAUAUCUAUUAAGGCAUUAGGAAGACAGGUCAGAUGUGAGGGAAGAGUGGUAGGGUCAGAUUUAUUUAGGUCAAAAAUGACUGUUUCCCCUUCUGAUUCGUGAUGGGUUGUGACUACUGUCGUAGUUAAUGACUAACUGACCCGCUCCCCACUCACAGACCCACAUUGGUCACAAGUCCUUCCAUACAGACAGACAGAGAGGGGUAUUUGACCGGUGUGUGUUCUCAAGGUGGAGACCUGACAGUGGUGUUCAGGAGCAGCAAUCUGGUAACGGUAGAAACUCUGAAGUUCUGAAACCUUAAUAGACAAGAAAGAAGAGGAGAAGGGAAGUGCUGCGAGGUACACAAUAGUAGACUUGGUAGACAGAAGAGCUCUUGGUAAAAGGGGUAAAUGGGUCAUCAAAAGAAAGGAGGACCAGGCUCUCUUCAUACAAUGAAUUACAUGUCUUUAUCUGUAUGGCUUUGUUUACAUUGAGAAAUCCAUGAUAUGGGUUUUGAACUCAGA
rnacentral:lncRNA from 1 species